UACGAAGGGGGCUAGCGUUGCUCGGAAUUACUGGGCGUAAAGGGCGCGUAGGCGGUCGGGUAAGUCUGAUGUGAAAUCUCACAGCUUAACUGUGAAACUGCAUUGGAUACUAUUCGGCUUGAGAGUUGGAGGGGGGACUGGAAUUCUCGGUGUAGCAGUGAAAUGCGUAGAUAUCGAGAGGAACACCAGUGGCGAAGGCGAGUCCCUGGACAACUUCUGACGCUGAGGCACGAAAGCUAGGGGAGCAAACAGG
rnacentral:rRNA from 1 species